rnacentral:rRNA from 1 species
UACGAAGGGGGCUAGCGUUGCUCGGAAUCACUGGGCGUAAAGGGUGCGUAGGCGGGUCUUAAGUCAGGGGUGAAAUCCUGGAGCUCAACUCCCAGAACUGCCCUUGAUACUGAAGGUCUUGAGUUCGGGAAGAGGUGAGUGGAACUGCGAGUGUAGAGGUGAAAUUCGUAGAUAUUCGCAAGAACACCAGUGGCGAAGGCGGCUCACUGGCCCGAUACUGACGCUGAUGCACGAAAGCCGUGGGGAGCAAACAGG